AUUGAACGCUGGCGGCAGGCCUAACACAUGCAAGUCGAACGAGUGGCGGACGGGUGAGUAAUGUCUGGGAAUCUGCCCGGUGGAGGGGGAUAACUACUGGAAACGGUAGCUAAUACCGCAUACCAUCGGAUGUGCCCAGAUGGGAUUAGCUAGUAGGUGGGGUAAAGGCUCACCUAGGCGACGAUCCCUAGCUGGUCUGAGAGGAUGACCAGCCACACUGGAAAUGAGACACGGCCCAGACUCCUACGGGAGGCAGCAGUGGGGAAUAUUGCACAAUGGGCGAAAGCCUGAUGCAGCCAUGCCGCGUGUAUGAAGAAGGCCUUCGGGUUGUAAAGUACUUUCAGCGGGGAGGCGUUACCCGCAGAAGAAGCACCGGCUAACUCCGUGCCAGCAGCCGCGGUAAUAC
rnacentral:rRNA from 1 species